rnacentral:lncRNA from 1 species
CUUCACCUCUGCCAAGCGCGGAACAACCUACACCAAGUCCUAAAGUGUUGUGAUACUUGCUACGCAACCUACAGAAUUGAAGAAAGUCAAAGUUAACAGCCUAGUGGUUACGCGGACUUGUCUGCUUCUGUAAGUAAGGCAUCCGGCUGCCAACCCUAUGGCUAACAACUUUGCAAAAGUUAUACACCAACACCUACGGCUGCAUAGGCUACGCGAGUUUGUCUGCUUAUAAAAAAGUAGCAUCCCUGCCACUGGUCUAUCAAGUCUAAAGGUUAGGGCAUGAACAAAAGAAGUGAAGAUGAAGAAAAACGAAGGAAAACAUGUUUAUAAACAACUAGCAAAGGUUGAAGGAGUUCAAGCAAAACAAAAGCUACAAGGAAAAACAAAGAAAAUCCUAGAGGCUACCUAAAAUACUACACUACAGCAGCUUGGACAUUCCACGACUACUCGGUCGCCACACCUUCAACAGCCGUAACGCUCUUAGCAGCGGCAUCAUCCGGCGCUUCACCCCCGGCUGCCCCAGUCUGGGCACUAACUUCUCCAACAACUUCACCAAUGGAAGCCUUAAAAGUCAAAGCAAGCAAGUCUUCCGGAGAAAUAGAGAAGCUCAUCCACUCUCUUCUUAGCAUAAGUAGCGAAACGAAGCUCAGAAAUUACAAGCUUAAGAUCUUGAAUCUGAGGCGAAUCAAUCUCAGCAGCAAAGGGAGCAGGCUUUGGCGCCACUUUAGCAGCAGAGUCCACCUUACCACUCUUCAUAAUAGCAAGUCUCUACAAAGGUAAACUGGACUUGGCUCCCAAAGAACGUCCUGGUACAGACUUCGGCACUGGGGGCAUGAUAAAACCU